GCAGUAAUGCAUUAAGCUAACCAGUACUAAUUGCCCGUACGGCUUGUCCCU
rnacentral:rRNA from 1 species